GUCUAUUUGUAGAUAUAAAAAGUCUAGCCUGCUCACUGAAUUAUUUUUAAGAGCCGCGGUAUUUCUGACUGUGCAAAGGUAGCAUAAUCGUUAGUUUUUUAAUUGAAAUCUUGUAUGAAUGGUUUGACAAAAAAAAGACUGUCUUUAUUAUUAUUAAUUGAAUUUAACUUUUAAGUGAAAAGGCUUAAAUAAAUUAAAAAGACGAUAAGACCCUAUAAAGCUUUAUAUUAAUUUAUUACUUAAUAAAAUUUUAUUUUAUAAAUAUUUGGUAAUGAAUUUUAUUUUAUUGGGGUGAUAAUGGUAAAAUGAUUAAUAACUGUUAAUUUUGUUAAAACAAAAAUAAAUGAGUAAAGUAAAUGAUUCAAUAAAUGAUCCUAUUUAAAGAUUUAAAGUUUAAGUUACUUUAGGGAUAACAGCGUAAUUUUUUUUGAGAGUUCUUAUCGAGAAAAAAGUUUGCGACCUCGAUGUUGAAUUAAAAUAUCUAUAUAAUUGUAGCAGUUAUAUAAGAAGGUCUGUUCGACCUUUAAAUUUUUACAUGAUUUGAGUUCAAACCGGUGUAAG
rnacentral:rRNA from 1 species